rnacentral:rRNA from 1 species
CCAAUAGCGUAUAUUAAAGUUGUUGCAGUUAAAAAGCUCGUAAUUGAAUUUCGGGAUUAGCAGGUCGGUCGUGCCACUGGUACGUACUGGUCUUGCUGAUUCCUCCCUCUUGACGAGCCGUAAUGCCGUUAAUUUGGUGUUGCGGGGAAUCAGGACUGUUACUUUGAAAAAAUUAGAGUGUUUAAAGCAGGCAUGCGUUUGAAUACAUUAGCAUGGAAUAAUGAAAUAGGACGUUCGAUCUUAUUUUGUUGGUUUCUAGGAUUGACGUAAUGAUUAAUAGGGAUAGUUGGGGGCAUUAGUAUUCAAUUGUCAGAGGUGAAAUUCUUGGAUUUAUUGAAGACUAACUACUGCGAAAGCAUUUACCAAGGAUGUUUUCAUUAAUCAAGAACGAAAGUUAGGGGAUCGAAGACGAUCAGAUACCGUCGUAGUCUUAACCAUAAACUAUGCCGACUAGGGAUCGGAUGAUGUUAAUUUUUUAAUGACUCAUUCGGCGCCUUACG